UCUCAGGACUUCCGGUUUGCCACAUCGGAGAGGCUGGCGCACAGGAGUGGUCCUAUUUUUUACUUUUGUUCAGUUUUUAUCGGUCCAUAGUGACUGUACCCACUCAGCAUAAUAUAACAGUAGUGCAAUUAUGAACGGAGAGAUUACACAGCCUUGGCUUUUUACGGUAAUAGUUUCCUGCAAUGGACGGCAACGCUGACAGUAUGGUGGCUGCGGUGUUGCUAUGACAUGUUCUGCAGGGAAACGGCCAUCUUUACAAAGGGAAAAGGAACCAGCUUGAACAGCUUCAACCAGUGGAGCUGCUAGUUUCCACUAGAGGGCAGUGCUGGGUCUAAUAAGCCCAUCAGCAAGAGAGCAAGAGAAGCUGACUGCCAGUUAUUUGAGUGUCAACCUAUCAGGUCUUUACAAGCUGUACUCACGGACAUGAAUUUUCUAUCUCUGAAGCCGCCGAAGGUGAUUAAUGAGACAAAAACCAGACAGACUGUGGAAUAAACCCGAGCGACGCCACCGUCCUUUGAAAUUCAGCUUUCUCCAGGUUGCAUCAGAAAGAUGUGAAGCAGAUAAAUGAACGACUUUUGUUCGAAUUGUCAAAAACUGUCACAGGCCUUGUCUGAUGGGUGCUGGGACCACCGACUGGGUGUGUUUGGCUCACACUCUGAUUUUGACUGAUUUCUUGGCAUUUUUGAGACAGAUGGGAUCAGAAAAUCAGCCCUGAAGUGAAGAAAGUCAAUGAAGCAACAAUGCCCUCGGCUUUGGAGACAAAAUAUUUACGUGUAAACUGUCAUGUUUUCAGACUUUUUGGUGUCGAUCACAUUAGAUUAAAGCCAACUCUGGUUCCACUUCA